UACCCAUUGCACUUGAGGUCCUUGUUGAUUGUGGCAAGACUCCGCCGCCGGGGUUCCAGUGUCCUGCCUAAACAAGUGUACUGUUUGAUGCGAAGCUCUAGUCACUUUUGCCAAAGAAUAACUUGGGAAUGUCUUAAUUUCUCACACUGUCUAGUAAACGGACAAACAUUUUAGGAACUGUUAAUUUGUGUUUGUUCUAAAGAAUAUAUGCUGAUUAAUC
rnacentral:misc_RNA from 1 species